GACAAAACAUCAAGAAACACGUAAGUACUUUAUUAAGCGUGAUACUAUAAGGACAGAUGAAUGGUUUCCGCUCUGACGCGUUUACUUAUAAUUUUUUCAUCUUUUUUUCGGCAACGGCUUAAGUAACUUUUUCGUUAACUAACAACCCUUGCAAUUCUUGUUUUUAUGUUCGUUAAAUUUAAAGAUGCGCGUAUCUUUUUACACAAUUAUUAUCACCAACUGUUUUUCCUUUCCGUUAAAAUUUAACGUAUAAUUGUAACUAUUAUCUCUACUUUGCAAUUUCUUUUGAUACGCGAAACUAUUCAUCUAUUUAUAAUUAACUUCGAUAUCCGUAGAUCUGAAUAGGCAUAGAGCUGUAAUAAUAAUCGACUCGCAUUAAGAAGGUGAUGGUUAUGAACGUUUGAUAGCGUAUGGAAUCACUGAACGAGCGCAAAAGUGACUAUAAUUUGAGGCUUCGAACACAAAUGUGUAUUUAUUCAACUCACCGAAACGAUAAACAACGAUCUUUCUUAUCCUUGAGCUUAUUUUUAAUUGUUACAAAUUACAAUUAGAUAUAGAAUAUUAAAAAAGGAUAUAUAAUGAUAAAAAAUUAACAGCUUGCCUAGGGAAAUACGUGAAAAAGUCGAUUACCGCGGUUGAAUCGGGAGGUUCAAGUCUUUCUUGGCGUAUCGUGUCGCUAUGCAGAAGUUGAGUUCGAACGUACGCACAAUUACAUGGAUCAUAAAUUACACGGUAGCGUAUAAUUAUGUAACGUAGAUUAUAGAUAGAUUAUAGAUUCCAGCAUCGACAGGCCACAAUGAAUGGCCUCUAUCCGGUGCCUAUCCACGGAAUUUUUCAAAUUUUACGCAUAAUGACGAGCACGACACGAUUCCCGGUAAGUAUCAUUUAUCCGCAAUGAUCCUUCGAGGGACGAAACAAUGCUCAGUCGGUAACGGAACACCGUCGCGAAAUCUGCUGACACAUCGGUCGCACGAAACGCGAAAUUCGCGUGAGCGUGACAUAGGACACGCUCGAGCGAGCAGCCGUGCACAUACACAUGCAUAUAAAUCACGCUGCACCAUAUAAUCCAGUAGCAUAAAUUGCAUCAUUCGACACUACUAAUUCCCAAUAAACGGUCGUGUAUCCUUAGAUAACCGCGUUUUCAACAUUUUUUCAUUGGCAAUAUGUCUAGUUGGGUGAUCGUGAUUCAUUGGUAAAAAUAUGUGAAACGGGUGAAGUGUAAUUACAUUGAUUAAUUGAGAAAGACAACUUCCCCGCCAUUUUUGUAUUAUUUUCUUUCGCGCCUAAUAUCGAACGAUUAAUCGAAAGAUUAAUCGAACGAUUCAUCGAACGAUUCUAACGUUCGAUUAACAUGGCGGGUUUCGAUAGUUUGUACCAAGUCGCGUUACAUGGCGUUGCUUUGCGUCUCGUCGCAUCAUAUAAUUACGGAAUAUAAAGUUUUUCUGUACAAAAUUGUGAAAAAAAAAGUUUUAUAGUUGUUAAGAGUGUGUAAAAAUUAAGAUAGAAGAUAUUCAAGAAUUUCACCGCAGUAAAUUUAUCGAGAAAAUGUUGUUAAUAGUUUUCUUACGGGUGAGGCUGAGACAAUAAAUCUCCAUGAUUGCAAUCAUUUUCGUCGAAGGGGUAAAAUUAUCAUUUUAAAUUUUAACAAGCUCGAAAAUUUUUAAAUAUUCGAAUGUUCAAACGAUGUAUAAUAGUUAAUACGAUAUGUGAUAAUACGAUUUGAUAGAAAGAGAAAAAUUGUUAUUGGAAUAUUAUCAAAUUCAUAAUAGACUAUGUAUAUAAUACAUAGUGUGCGUGACCAAUGAGAAUAGAGACUUCUAUCGUAUAUUUAUUCAGUUCCUUAUUGUCCCGCCGUUUAAACCAUGAGAUCAGAUAACUUUAACCUUCGCGAACCAGUUACAACACGUGUCCUCGGGCCAUUUUCGCGGGUUAAUGUUUCUACCAUGAGUUACAUACAGAUUGUCGACAAAUAAUUUAGAAUCAGGCAAUCAUUUAAUAAUGUAUCGGCGGUGUGGUAGUGCCAAUGAAAAAUCAGCAUUGCUCAGCCACCAAUGAUAAGGCUUCACGUGAGCGUGACAUCGGUUGCCGCGACAGAAGCACGCUUCACUGCGCAGAUUGGUGCGCACCGUGUUCGCUAGCGACGCCAAGAAGAAUUUUUCGUGAUUCGGGUGAAUGAACGAAGAAUUGUGUGCUGCACAAGGAAAUACAGUUUUAUCGAUAGUUAACGCGAAAGAAGACGGAGAAAGUGUUUGGUGCAGAGAGAAUCAGUUCGUGAAAGCAACAAGAGAAAUAUACACGUUACAAAUAUCGACGGGCAUAACGAGCAAUACGUAAGAUGAAUAUGCAGAAGAAUGGAAGUCGAAGCUACAAGAAAACAAGGAUUUGAACGAGAUGGGGAAAGUAGAGGUUAUGAGUAAAUACUACAGAGAUAGAAGAAAGCAAAACAACAAUACCAGAGCGAAUGGGAGCGAACAAAGGAGGAGAACAACACCAGUAAAAAAGAAACCGCGAGGAAUUCAAUUCUCUCCAACCAACCAAACAUCUCAAUUCGCUUGCUUUCGUGGUGUAUCGUCACGAAGCAAGGUGUGGAGCGAAAAGCGUCAUUUACCAUCGUCACACAAGCCUCUGCACACGAGCCUUUCCCACGAGGCCAGGGCACCGAUGUCGCCGAUUCCUCGCCGAGGAAUCCUCCUUCUCCCUCUACUGCUAAAUUGUUCGUCGUUAAAGCCGAUUUUUCGAGAACGAAAUGAAGAGGGGGCGAGGAAAAGUGGAAAGAAAUAUGGAAGGAGGAGGAGGAGGAGGAGGAGGGAAAAGAAAAAAAGGAAAAAAGAGAAAGGGAUGCGAAUUUUUGCCGUCCCCCCUUUCGACUUGGCUAACGGUCCAACAAGUACACAGCCGCGGAUUUAUCCUUCCAACCUCCCCCCUUCCCUCGGCUAUCUUUCCCUUCUUGCUGCGAGGUGAUAACCACACGUCCAUGUCUUCGGGAAUCUUCGUGGCAGAUAAGCUCGAUCGAGGAAUUGUUUUUGGAUUAGAAUGUAGAUUGAAUUUUAUUAGAAUCAAGAAUGAAUUUUUCAUCAGACGUAGAUUUUUGCUAAGAAUUAAACACGAAGAGAAUUCGUCCUCGAAGAAUAUUAGGAAAAAGGGGAAGACGAAACGUUCCAAUCUUCAUAUAUUCAUAAAUUAUUGCUCACUUAAUAUCGAAGGAACGAAGGAAUGAAAUUUCGCUCUAUCCAAUAAUACGAACGCUUUAAUAUUUCAACAAGUUGCAAAGAGAAGGUAAAAUAAAAAUAUCGAAAGCGAAUUACACCACGGCUAAUUGAAAACUUUAUUCGUUCAACAUUGUUACGCAAUUUAAUUUCACGAUCGUUUUCGCACGAAGAAGAGACUCGAGGCGGAAGUGCUCCGUCCCCAAAGAAAUAUUCGAAACAAAAAUAUUCAUAGAGGACAGGAAGAGGAGAGAGAGAGAGAGAGGGAGAGAGAGGGAGAUGUAAAAAGAAAAAUGGUCUCGGUAAGUAGCGAGCGCCGCGACAAUACCCGGCGGGAGUGCUUUUACCUCGCGGCUCUUUUUAACCCCUUCGUUUUCAUUCACCGGAAACGGUGCGGCUAUUAUUGGCAUUGUGGCGGCACAAGGAAACUCGGCCAACCCCCGUCGCCUUCUCCAGCCUCUCUCCCGGCGGGUUAACGAUCGUGUUAUUAGCGCAAAUCAAAAUUGGCGACUGUCUCACGGCACGAACGAGGAGCGAGGAGCAGGAGGGGAAGAGAGAAAAAAGAAAAAUAAUAAUAAGGCGCGAGUCCAAUUUAACCGUGGAAGCGCUGCACGCGUUAAUUUGCGUAUCGAAAUCAAAUUCACGCCCCGAAACGAUCGUUCUAAUAAUUCGUGAAUGGUAUAUAUUUUUUGGCUUCUUCUUGUUGCGAAUGCGGUCGUUGAAAUUAUAUCUCUCACCUUGAACGUCAUCUCUGAUGAUGUUUAAUCGUGAAAUUGGAUCAUUAUGAUUAAUCUUAUCGAUCUUGUUAUAUCGUUUAUGAAUAUAAUUUAUCUUACAUUUCAGAACGAGAAUGAAAAUUUGUUGGAUACUUUUUAUUUAAAAUUGAUGUAUCAUUUUUCAGAUAAGUAUAAAGUAGGAAUUAUUUUAUAAAAGUUUUUCAUCAGAUACAAGCCGUUUUUAAAUUCUGAGUUUCAGUUUUGUCGAUCUUUUCGCAAUUAAAAGAAUAAGCGAGGAGGAAAGUAAUUAAUACAAAUUCGAUACAAAUUUGUCUUCAAAAACACUAUCUCAACUCAACGUUUGCCGCACGUAGAACGAAUUCUCGUUUCUUUAUUUGCAGCGUUCAUUUGCAACGUUGGCCUGAAACAAAUCGAUACUCCGGAGGGCGAAGAAGCAUCGCGUGACAAGGAAUGGGGGUUAACUCCUUUGAUCCUUUGUCGUUGCGUUACUCGCGGGAAACGGAGUAACUGACAAGUUAAACACGGAUAUCCGUUAAUCCCUUCUUAUUAUGCUUUCGCGUGAUUCCCCGCAAACGUUUUCGAUUCUCCUCCAGUCCGAAGAAGAAGGCUCUUCCUCCGAGGAGUCGUGCGACCGCCCGUAAACGUCAUUUUCGCGAGUCCUUGCAUUCUCGUGUAUAGCCUUUCUCGUGUAUAAUCUCGUACACGUGGAUUAUUUGCUGCGUGGAGAAAUAUUUCACCGCGAAUAAGCAAACAAAAAGGGCGAUAAUAAACAAUUGUGAAUCAACGUCUUCCUGUCAAGAUUACGAGUUCUACGAGUACUUUCGUUCCCAGACUACAAUAAAUUUUUAGAAGAAAUUUCAUCAUCGAGGGAUCCUCGAAAUCGAAUUAUCAUCCAGUGUCAAUUCCUUUCCUCUAAUUAUUUUUCCUCGAUCUCCGUUCUCGCAAGAAGCAAGCAAGAAACAGGUUUCUCGAUUUUCAGAGAGGACGUCUCUUCCUUUUUUCCCUUCUUUGCCUUCUCUCCCCACAUUGUAAUAUUUCAAUCGCGCCGCCCUGCAGUAGCGAGUAGCACACGGUUAAUUAGCACGCUGUAAAGCACACCGGUAAUACAAUUUAUAUAUAUAUAUACGCGUAUGCCCCUGCUGGAUUAUUAUCGGUCCAAGUUCAGGUCCGAUAAAGCCGAGCCGUGAAAGUCGUCCUCGGUUAUCCGCCCGCCGCGUUAAUUGCUAUAUUUUCGCGAUCCGAGGCGAGGGAUCGCGAUAACCACGCCGGUCACCGAUACCGGUCGAUCCAUCGGAAGCCAGGGGAUCGCCCCCUACCCCUUCGCCGGCCACGCGAUUCCAAUUUAUGCGCCCGGUUUUCUCCAACGAUCUCCAAUUCCUUCUUUUACCUUAGGCGCAGCGAGAGAUUAAAGUGGAGGAAAUGCGUGGAGGAAAAGAGAUCCCACCACGGUUCGGAAAACACGCGUGAUGAUAUGAAUUCUUGAGGAGGAGGAGGAGGGAAUUAAUAAAAUUCCUUUCCAACAGGAAAUUAUACCGAUCUCUUAAUUAUUCCUGCUAAUCGGGAAAAUUUAUAUAACGAUAUAUAUUCCGUGUUUAUCACGAAUCCCGUAUUUACACGUUAUUGGCAAUUUGGUUAAAGGCAAGCUUCAUUAAUUGAAGUAAUAAACGCGAGGGGGAAAAAAUUUAAGAUAAGAUAGUGCAGCAGUGUAAACAGAGCGAGUCGGAGAUUUUAUUCCUACGCUGCGAAAAACCACCCUCGACAAAACGUCGAGAAAACGUCGCAACUGGAGACGAUCUCCUCCCCUGAUCCUGUUAUCGAGCAACGACAACGACGACCGAGCAACUCCCUUGCUUGCGCAAGCGCGGCGUCCAAAGCCGAGGAACAGUUAAUCUUAAUACGGCUUUAUAGCUCCAUUAAGAGUCGGCGGGGAUCACGAGAGGUGCUCUCGCCGCCUCUCGUCUCUCCUUCGGGGCAACGAUUAUCCCGCGGCUCUCGUGACUCCGUGUUGAUCGCCCUUUCCAGAGACUAAUUGUCGAUUAAACGGUGGCCGCUUGCGAGAUACCUGGCGAGGCCGCCGGGAUCCUCUCUCGCCUGUGUGUUUCCAUCUCGUCUUUUACGUGCCCCUGCACACUGAUCGCGUAUUUAUUUUCGCGGACACUUUUCCUCUGCGAUUCCUCUUUCUUUUCUUUUCUUUCUUUUUGCCUCGGAUCGAACGCGAGCCCUCGGAUCGAACGGGGUCGCCCUUCUUCGCCCCUCGAGUCGUGAGAAUCGUUGCAAGAGAAACGUGCAUUUAUAAAGCUCUUAUAAAGAAUGGAGAGCUGUGAUAGAACGCAAGUUUGAUGAGGAUCGAAAAUGAUUCGUAUCAUUUCACCAGAUAAGAUUAUUGAAAGUUAAAAGAAGCUCUGAAAGUUUAGCAGCUCCGAAUAGAGAGCUGUGAACACAAAUUUUGUUUGAUGAGAAUCGAAAAGUAGAAAAUGAUUGAUUCGUAUUGUUUCAUCAGAUAAGAUGUAUUAUUUGAAGGUUAAAAGAAGCUCUGAAGAUUUAGCUCCGAAUGAAGAGCUGUGACGGAACACAAGUUUGAUGAGGAGAAAUAGAAAAUGAUUUCACCAGAUAAGAUUAUUAUUUGGAGGAAAAAUUAAAAGAAGCUCGGAAGAUUUAGCAGCUUCGAAUGAAGAGCUGUAAACGCAAGUUUGAGGAUCAAAAAAUAGAAAAUGAUUCGUAUCGUUUCACCAGAUAAGAUGUAUUAUUUGAAGGUUAAAAGAAGCUUUGAAGAUUUAGCAACUCCGAAUGGAAGUUUUGUUUAACGAAGAUCAAAAAAUAAAAAAUGAUUGCUUCAUAUCGUUUCACCAAAUAAGAUAUAUUAUUUGGAGGGAAGGUUAAAAGAAGCUUCGAAUGGAGAGCUGUGAACGCAAAUUUUGUUUGACGAGGAUCGAAAAAUAAAAAAAUGAUUGGUUCGUAUCGUUUCACCAGAUAAGAUGUAUUAUUUGGAGGAAAGGAACGAGCUCUUCUUAGGAGAAACUCGAAUAGAACGUAGGAACGAAAUAUAUUUAGAAGAGUAAAUGGCAAGGAGAAGUAAAAUUUUGAUGGCUGUUAACGUCGUUUCGAAAGAGAUCAUAGACCAGGUGUUGGGCAUAUUUAGAAGGAUGUACACGCGCAUAUAUAUAUAUACAGGGAGUAACCUGUAGGUUAUUUGGGGGAUGGUCAGGGGAUAGUGUCCAGAAAGCGAAGGAAGGGAGGAAGAAGGUAGAAGCGUUUGGAGCGGUCACCCGUUCGUCGAGGGUCAUCCACUGGCUCUCCUCUCGCUUAGCAUAAAAGGGUAACUAGCAAAUGCUCAAUGCGCCAUACCAUAAUGGAACGAGUGUCCCAUGGACAUAAUUAGGCGAGCCACCCAUGGGAAAUUCAGAUCCCCGUUUCGGUUUUGCGCCGGCUAGGCAAUAAGCUGGGCAAGGGUCAUCGUUGCCCGGCCGGACAAGGUAGGCACAUAGGAGGAUAUUUCCACGACGGGGCUUUCAACCUCGUGCGAGGAUCGUAUGUUAUAGCGCGUCGAAUAAAGUAAAAUAUUCGAUUUCGCUAAUAAUUCUUCAUUGCGUAAUGCAAUGAAUAUGUGUCCCGUAUAACCGUGUAAGUUAUUGAACACUCGGGGAAGAUUUAAAAUUAUGAUGUAUCGAUGAUUGGAGAGGUUGCAUGCGUUAUAUGAAAGUAAGGUUUUUUUUCUUCCUUUUCUUUUUCUUUUUUUUUUUUUUUUCUCAAAGAGAAGAGCUCUUCGAUUACCAAUAGCCAGGAAAUGCAUACGUCAAAGUAUUUUAAUGAUUUAAAAUCUUAUUAAGGAAGAGAGGGAGAGAGAGAGAGAAAGAGUUUUACGUUAUCAGAGAGGAAUUUCUAACGCACGAUUUAUCACGGUUUCCUCGUCGCCCGAUCUGUAAUUAAUUUUCUUGGUCGACGACAAAUUUUUUACAAUCGUUUUACUUUUGAGAUUGAAAAAAGAAUUUGAAAUCCAUGGAAACGAGCACAGGUCGAAGAAAAAAUUUUUUAUCACGUUGGAUUGGCAAAAUCGCGCGCCACUGUCGAAUCGUACGGAUAAUAUUCCGAACUGAAGGAAGGAGUUUAAGGCGGAAGUGAAAAGCACGCAUCGUCCGGGAUCGUCGAUAACUUUUUAUCACGGGGAAUUUCAAUUUUCCGCUUCUGUUUCGCUCGGUUAUCGUGGGAAAACUCGUAGGCACGUAGUGAAAAUACCACUUGGACGAACCUCGAAUCGUUUAUCCAACCGAGUCAUCGAGUGUCGAUCAAUAAUACAUGAACAUCGACAAGGGGAAUUUCAAAUCGAGUGGAUCAUCUUUGAGAUUCCACGAAGAUACGUUGUUUCUAAAUUUCGAUCGUGAUAAACACGAUCCUCUUUAAUUUUCAAUUACAUUCUCUUAAUAAAUCCUCCUCAACAUUAGAAGACAUCGAUUAUCAGAAUCGUUCUUCGUUCCAAGAACGAGACAAGUCGCGAGACAAAAAAUUCUCUUUUUAUUUUCAUUCCAAGUUUCUUCUCUCGUCACGAGAUGCGAAAAGAUAGAGAGGCCGUGUCCUAGAGACGGACCGUAAAACGAGAAACAAGAACGAGAUUUCCGAAAGUCUUUCGAUCGUUGGCGGAGGAUCGACAGUUGACAUCAAGA